rnacentral:piRNA from 1 species
UGCAUUGCUUCUACAGCCCUCAGUGGUA